UACAGAGGGUGCGAGCGUUGUCCGGAAUCACUGGGCGUAAAGGGCGCGUAGGCGGCUUGAUAAGUAGGGGGUGAAAUCUUGCGGCUCAACUGCAAGGCUGCCUCCUAAACUGUCAGGCUUGAGCACAGUAGAGGCAGGUGGAAUUCCCGGUGUAGCGGUGGAAUGCGUAGAGAUCGGGAAGAACAUCGGUGGCGAAGGCGGCCUGCUGGGCUGUUGCUGACGCUGAGGCGCGACAGCGUGGGGAGCAAACCGG
rnacentral:rRNA from 1 species